rnacentral:rRNA from 1 species
AACGAACGCUGGCGGCAGGCCUAACACAUGCAAGUCGAACGAGCGGCGGACGGGCGAGUAAUGGAUGGGGAUCUGCCUGAUGGAGGGGGAUAACUACUGGAAACGGUAGCUACUACUGCAUACAGCCAGAUCAACCCAUACGGGAUUAGCUUGUGGGUGAGGUAACGGCUCACGUAGGCGACGAUCCCUAGCAGGUCUGAGAGGAGGAUCGGCCACACUGGGACUGAGACACGGCCCAGACUCCUACGGGAGGCAGCAGUGGGGAAUAUUGCGCAAUGGGCGCAAGCCUGAUGCAGCCAUGCCGCGUGUAUGAAGAAGGCCUUCGGGUUGUAAAGUACUUUCAGUCGGGAUGCGUUACCGACAGAAGAAGCACCGGCUAACUCCGUGCCAGCAGCCGCGGUAAUAC